CCCUUAGAUGUUCUGGGCCGCACGCGCGCUACACUGUUCGACGCAGCGAGUCUUAACCUUGACCGAAAGGUUUGGGUAAUCUUCAGCAAAGUCGAACGUGAUGGGGAUCGAUCAUUGCAAUUAUUGAUCGUGAACGAGGAAUUCCUAGUAAGUGCAAGUCAUCAGCUUGCGCUGAUUACGUCCCUGCCCUUUGUACACACCGCCCGUCGCUACUACCGAUUGAAUGGUUUAGUGAGAUCUCUGGAUUGACGCUGGCUAGGGGGCGACCCUUGGCCAGACUGUUGAGAAACUGCUCAAACCUGAUCAUUUAGAGGAAGUAAAAGUCGUAACA
rnacentral:rRNA from 1 species